CCUACGGGAGGCAGCAGUGAGGAAUAUUGGUCAAUGGGCGCGAGCCUGAACCAGCCAAGUAGCGUGAAGGAUGACUGCCCUACGGGUUGUAACCUUCUUUUAUAAAGGAAUAAAGUGAGGCACGUGUGCCUUUUUGUAUGUACUUUAUGACUAAGGAUCGGCUAACUCCGUGCCAGCAGCCGCGGUAAUACGGAGGAUCCGUGCGUUAUCCGGAUUUAUUGGGUUUAAAGGGAGCGUAGAUGGGUUGUUAAGUCAGAUGUGAAAGUCUGCGGCUCAACCGUAAAAUUGCAAUUGAUACUGGCAGUCUUGAGUAUCGUUGAGGUAGGCGGAAUUCGUGGUGUAGCGGUGAAAUGCUUAGAUAUCACGAAGAACUCCGAUUGCGAAGGCAGCUUACUAAACUGCAACUGACGUUGAUGCUCGAAAGUGUGGGUAUCAAACAGGAUUAGAUACCCGUGUAGUC
rnacentral:rRNA from 1 species